CGCGUGAAGUAGACCGCCUGGGGAGUACGGUCGCAAGAUUAAAACUCAAAGGAAUUGACGGGGACCCGCACAAGCGGUGGAUGAUGUGGAUUAAUUCGAUGCAACGCGAAAAACCUUACCUACCCUUGACAUGGAUGGAAUCCCGAAGAGAUUUGGGAGUGCUCGAAAGAGAACCAUCACACAGGUGCUGCAUGGCUGUCGUCAGCUCGUGUCGUGAGAUGUUGGGUUAAGUCCCGCAACGAGCGCAACCCUUGUCAUUAGUUGCUACGAAAGGGCACUCUAAUGAGACUGCCGGUGACAAACCGGAGGAAGGUGGGGAUGACGUCAAGUCCUCAUGGCCCUUAUGGGUAGGGCUUCACACGUCAUACAAUGGUACAUACAGAGGGCCGCCAACCCGCGAGGGGGAGCUAAUCCCAGAAAGUGUAUCGUAGUCCGGAUUGGAGUCUGCAACUCGACUCCAUGAAGUUGGAAUCGCUAGUAAUCGCGGAUCAGCAUGUCGCGGUGAAUACGUUCCCGGGUCUUGUACACACCGCCCGUCACACCAUGGGAGCGGGUUUUACCAGAAGUGGGUAGCCUAACCGCAAGGAGGGCGCUCACCACGGUAGGAUUCGUGACUGGGGUGAAGUCGUAACAAGGUAACC
rnacentral:rRNA from 1 species